GAUGGACCGAAACCCAAAGUAAAGAUAGUCCCACAGCUAUACAAGUUAAUCGUGGGCAUUGUCAAUGCGGGUCAGCAUUGGAUGCUGGUGGUGAUCUUGCCAGGAGACAAAAAAACUGUUUUUCUAGAUCCACUGGGUGAAAGAAAAACCUCAAUAAACCACUGCAAGGAUGUUACAAGAUCAUUCAUGAGACACAGGGGACUGAACGUGUCCAGAUGGGCAUGUGAGACGAGGUCUCACCCACUGCAACAUGAUGCUAUAUCUUGUGGUGCUUAUGCAUUGAAGGUACAUAUCACAGCAUGAUUAAGCUUUAUGUUAGGAUUAUAAU